rnacentral:rRNA from 1 species
UGCAAUCGAACGGUGAUAGCAAUAUCAUAGUGGCGCACGGGUGCGUAACACGUAUGCGACCUACCUUAUACUGAGGGAUAGCCUUUCGAAAGGGAGAUUAAUACCUCAUAACACAUUGAACUGGCAUCAGUUUAUUGUUAAAGAUUUAUUGGUAUAAGAUGGGCAUGCGUCCAAUUAGUUAGUUGGCGAGGUAACGGCUCACCAAGACGAUGAUUGGUAGGGGAACUGAGAGGUUAAUCCCCCACACUGGCACUGAGAUACGGGCCAGACUCCUACGGGAGGCAGCAGUAGGGAAUAUUGGGCAAUGGAGGCAACUCUGACCCAGCCAUGCCGCGUGCAGGAAGAAGGCGUUAUGCGUUGUAAACUGCUUUUAUAUAGGAAGAAAUAGACCUUGCGAGGUAAGUUGACGGUACUAUAUGAAUAAGCACCGGCUAACUCCGUGCCAGCAGCCGCGGUAAUACGGAGGGUGCAAGCGUUGUCCGGAUUUAUUGGGUUUAAAGGGUGCGUAGGCGGUUUAUUAAGUCAGUGGUGAGAGACGGUCGCUCAACGAUUGCAGUGCCAUUGAUACUGGUAGACUUGAGUGGGAUUGAGGUAGCUGGAAUGGAUAGUGUAGCGGUGAAAUGCAUAGAUAUUAUCCAGAACACCAAUUGCGUAGGCAAGUUACUAAGUCUCAACUGACGCUGAGGCACGAAAGUGUGGGUAUCAAACAGGAUUAGAUACCCUGGUAGUCCACACUGUAAACGAUGAUAACUAACUGUUGGC